CGACUAUAGGAGGGCAGCCCCGUUGAUUUCAAUGAGGUCCUAGAGUGGAAGAAGGGGAUCCAGUUCAACAUCAGGAGUGAGUCCUGGUUGGAAAAGCAAAAAAGAAAAGUUGGGACAUCCGCUAUAAUAAGCCUGCAUCAAGAAAAAGCAACGCAAAAAAGUAGUUACCGCCUCUCUCGUUUUCCUGCAACAUCUAUACACUCUCAAGAAACAUGAAGAAUGAGCAUCAAAAUCUGGUUCUGAAGGAAGGUCCUCUCCUUUGGUCUGUCCAGCUGCAGUGCAAUCCGAGGCAAUCCACUCCUCAGAACUAAAUCCCAUCGAUGUGAAUUAAUGGCUCCUACACAAGGAGGUACAGCUUUAGCUGGUCUGCAGUUUUGCCAACUUUCAGCUCAGAUGAACCAGUCCCACUUUCCUCAGUCCCUAGGCGCUUGCUAACAUUCCUUACUCCCAUCCUCCAGAGAAUCCUUACUUGCAACUCCCAUCAUCCACAGCCAUGAAACCGCUCAGAUCUGCUGGCUUCCCUCCCCCCCCAGUUGUGGUGGCCCUCAACUCCCAAGAGUCUGAGCCACCAUGAUGGGUGGAGAUGAUGGGAGAUGUAGUCCCAUGCUUCUAAGGGGGGGGCAGGUUGGAGAGGUCCAUAGAAUUAUGGUUUGGUUAUUUGUGGUUACAUCAGUUUAGCAGCAGCAGCAGCAACAACAACAACACAGCAACAAGCAUGCACUCCACAAGUAUUUGGUAAAUAAACAGGAUAUACUGGUAGGUAAAAAGAAACUUACUUUAUUGCUUACUUCUAGGUCCUCCAAAAUCACUGAUCAGUAGAGAAGACUAUACUUGGUAGAAGAGUUCCUAGAGCUGACUCUCGGGUGGUUAAGUAAGAAGGAAAAACAUCUUUAGUAGCAUAACUUGAUUUCUGCCUCUAUGCUUGGUGAAAGCAGAGAUAGGAAGACAGACAACAAGAGGGCAAAAAACUUUAUUGACCCCCCCCCCCCAGAAAAGAGAGGGGUCUGGGAAGUGACCUCUUCAAA